CUUCUCGAUAAUUGUCUCACAAGAGCUUCCCGUUAUACAGCUCACAUGAGCUUCUUGUUACAUGGUUGUUAGAUCAAGACAAGUAUGAUCAUUUUCUGUGGAAACACAAAAACAAAAAGAUACAUCAAUAUUACAGAGACUAAAAAGUUCAAAGAUCAGUAAAAAAACAAAUAAAACCUGCAAAUCACACCAUCUCAUCAGCCGAC
rnacentral:lncRNA from 1 species